rnacentral:rRNA from 1 species
CAGCCAUCAUUUAAAGAAAGCGUAAUAGCUCACUGGUCGAGUCGGCCUGCGCGGAAGAUGUAACGGGGCUAAACCAUGCACCGAAGCUGCGGCAGCGACACUGUGUGUUGUUGGGUAGGGGAGCGUUCUGUAAGCCUGUGAAGGUGUGUCGUGAGGCAUGCUGGAGGUAUCAGAAGUGCGAAUGCUGACAUAAGUAACGAUAAAGCGGGUGAAAAGCCCGCUCGCCGGAAGACCAAGGGUUCCUGUCCAACGUUAAUCGGGGCAGGGUGAGUCGACCCCUAAGGCGAGGCCGAAAGGCGUAGUCGAUGGGAAACGGGUUAAUAUUCCCGUACUUGGUGUUACUGCGAAGGGGGGACGGAGAAGGCUAUGUUGGCCGGGCGACGGUUGUCCCGGUUUAAGCGUGUAGGUGUGUGUUCCAGGUAAAUCCGGUUCACUUUAACACUGAGGCGUGACGACGAGGCACUACGGUGCUGAAGCAACAAAUGCCCUGCUUCCAGGAAAAGCCUCUAAGCAUCAGGUAACAUCAAAUCGUACCCCAAACCGACACAGGUGGUCAGGUAGAGAAUACCAAGGCGCUUGAGAGAACUCGGGUGAAGGAACUAGGCAAAAUGGUGCCGUAACUUCGGGAGAAGGCACGCUGACACGUAGGUGAAGUGAUUUACUCAUGGAGCUGAAGUCAGUCGAAGAUACCAGCUGGCUGCAACUGUUUAUUAAAAACACAGCACUGUGCAAACACGAAAGUGGACGUAUACGGUGUGACGCCUGCCCGGUGCCGGAAGGUUAAUUGAUGGGGUCAGCGCAAGCGAAGCUCCUGAUCGAAGCCCCGGUAAACGGCGGCCGUAACUAUAACGGUCCUAAGGUAGCGAAAUUCCUUGUCGGGUAAGUUCCGACCUGCACGAAUGGCGUAAUGAUGGCCAGGCUGUCUCCACCCGAGACUCAGUGAAAUUGAACUCGCUGUGAAGAUGCAGUGUACCCGCGGCAAGACGGAAAGACCCCGUGAACCUUUACUAUAGCUUGACACUGAACAUUGAGCCUUGAUGUGUAGGAUAGGUGGGAGGCUUUGAAGUGUGGACGCCAGUCUGCAUGGAGCCGACCUUGAAAUACCACCCUUUAAUGUUUGAUGUUCUAACGUGGACCCGUUACCCGGGUUGCGGACAGUGUCUGGUGGGUAGUUUGACUGGGGCGGUCUCCUCCUAAAGAGUAACGGAGGAGCACGAAGGUUGGCUAAUCCUGGUCGGACAUCAGGAGGUUAGUGCAAUGGCAUAAGCCAGCUUGACUGCGAGCGUGACGGCGCGAGCAGGUGCGAAAGCAGGUCAUAGUGAUCCGGUGGUUCUGAAUGGAAGGGCCAUCGCUCAACGGAUAAAAGGUACUCCGGGGAUAACAGGCUGAUACCGCCCAAGAGUUCAUAUCGACGGCGGUGUUUGGCACCUCGAUGUCGGCUCAUCACAUCCUGGGGCUGAAGUAGGUCCCAAGGGUAUGGCUGUUCGCCAUUUAAAGUGGUACGCGAGCUGGGUUUAGAACGUCGUGAGACAGUUCGGUCCCUAUCUGCCGUGGGCGCUGGAGAACUGAGGGGGGCUGCUCCUAGUACGAGAGGACCGGAGUGGACGCAUCACUGGUGUUCGGGUUGUCAUGCCAAUGGCACUGCCCGGUAGCUAAAUGCGGAAGAGAUAAGUGCUGAAAGCAUCUAAGCACGAAACUUGCCCCGA